AGUAUUUACAAUUUGCCCAACACAGCUCUGAAGUCUCUGCAUAUAUUAGCACAUAUUGCUAUUAGGUUAGUUUGUACACUGACUGUUAUGUUUAUUUUCAAGAUGAAGACCCUGGAUCUGGAAAUUUUAAAUGAUUUCUCUUUUUUUAUAGGUAUUAAAUUGAAGUAUUGCUACUUAAUCAGUCUUUCCAGGGCCAGGUAUGCCAUUCUUGAUUACCACGUGCUAGCUCCUGUGGGAUCAUAUAGAUCUAGAUGCAGUUGGAUAAGUGAAAUUGAGGAUGACAGAGAUACUGGAAGUUCCUGAAAACAGGCAGCCAGAGAUAUUUCCUAUUAAUCUGACUAUAAAAUCAUUAAGAUGUUCUUGGAAAUCAUUUGAUACUUAAGACUUGGUUAUAUACUCAAAAUGUUAAGAUAAAAUUAUAUGUAAAUGACAUAUAGAGUAUAAUGUAUAAAGUAAAUACAUUUUAUAAUAUAUAAUUAUAUGUUGUAAGAGUAAGCUAUAUAAAGUGUAAAAAAAAAAGAAAAAA
rnacentral:lncRNA from 1 species